AUGCUUUGUCUCUGCUCUUCUUUGGACUAAUGGUAUAUCUUUCCUCCUCAGCAAAUGAGGAGGAAAGAUAUACCAUUAGUCCAAAGAAGAGCAGAGACAAAGCAUA